rnacentral:rRNA from 1 species
CCUACGGGAGGCAGCAGUUUCGAAUCAUUCACAAUGGGCGAAAGCCUGAUGGUGCGACGCCGCGUGAGGGAUGAAGGUCUUCGGAUUGUAAACCUCUGUCACCGGGGAAGAAACGCUUCAAGUUAACAGUUUGAAGCCUGACUUAACCCGGAGAGGAAGCAGUGGCUAACUCUGCGCCAGCAGCCGCGGUAAUACAGAGACUGCAAGCGUUAUUCGGAUUCACUGGGCGUAAAGGGUGCGCAGGCGGUUGGGUGUGUCAGAUGUGAAAUCCCGAGGCUCAACCUCGGAACUGCGUCUGAAACUACUCGACUAGAGUACUGGAGAGGGUAACGGAAUUCACGGUGUAGCAGUGAAAUGCGUAGAUAUCGUGAGGAACACCAGAGGCGAAGGCGGUUACCUGGACAGUUACUGACGCUCAGGCACGAAAGCAUGGGGAGCAAAAGGGAUUAGAUACCCUGGUAGUC